GUGCUCACUUUGGCAGCACAUACACUAAAAUUGCAACGAUACAGAGAAGAUCAGCAUGGCCCCUAUGCAAAGAUGACAUGAAAAAUCUCGAAUGUUCAACAUUGUU
rfam:Otolemur garnettii contig017597, whole genome shotgun sequence.